UCGCAGAGAAAAUGAAAAAAAUGUCAAUAAAUAAAUAAAAGCGGCAGGAAAGAUCUAAUUCAAGAAUAGUAUACUCUAAAAUGUGAUGUCUUCUACAUAUUAAUGGAAUAGUGCAGAAGAUUUUGAGUUCUCAGGGAAGUCUCCAUCGCUUACCACCAAUACUCUUUGCUGCAUCCUUCAGGCUCCCAGCAAAGUAUUGCUGAAGAACUUGUAAGGACUUUAUCUCACGAGACGGCCUCAGAGAUUGCAUUGUGUCCACCUUUGGAAUUUCUUCACUAGAUAUAGUUACUGGAGGAUUUGCAACUUCACAAACUGGAGAAACAGGAUCCCUACAAUCCUUUGGCAAAAAGAACUCCAAAACAAAGUCAGCCGAACCAGUACAGAUACUCCGAAGACGUAUAGCAACAGCAGCACAUAG